UACAGAGGGUGCAAGCGUUGUUCGGAAUUAUUGGGCGUAAAGCGCGUGUAGGCGGCUUUGCAAGUCGGGUGUGAAAGCCCUCAGCUUAACUGAGGAAGUGCGCCCGAAACUGCAGAGCUUGAGUACCGGAGAGGAUGGCGGAAUUCCCGAAGUAGAGGUGAAAUUCGUAGAUAUCGGGAGGAACACCGGUGGCGAAGGCGGCCAUCUGGACGGAUACUGACGCUGAGACGCGAAAGCGUGGGUAGCAAACAGG
rnacentral:rRNA from 1 species